rnacentral:tRNA from 1 species
UCCUGGCUCAGACGGUAAAGGGUCUGCCUACAAUGCAGGAGACCCAGGUUCAAUCCCUGGGUCAGGAA